GAUGAACGCUGGCGGCGUGCCUAAUACAUGCAAGUCGAGCGAACAGAUAAGGAGCUUGCUCCUUUGAAGUUAGCGGCGGACGGGUGAGUAACACGUGGGUAACCUACCUAUAAGACUGGGAUAACUUCGGGAAACCGGAGCUAAUACCGGAUAACAUUUAGAACCGCAUGGUUCUAAAGUGAAAGAUGGUUUUGCUAUCACUUAUAGAUGGACCCGCGCCGUAUUAGCUAGUUGGUAAGGUAACGGCUUACCAAGGCGACGAUACGUAGCCGACCUGAGAGGGUGAUCGGCCACACUGGAACUGGGACACGGUCCAGACUCCUACGGGAGGCAGCAGUAGGGAAUCUUCCGCAAUGGGCGAAAGCCUGACGGAGCAACGCCGCGUGAGUGAUGAAGGGUUUCGGCUCGUAAAACUCUGUUAUUAGGGAAGAACAAAUGUGUAAGUAACUGUGCACAUCUUGACGGUACCUAAUCAGAAAGCCACGGCUAACUACGUG
rnacentral:rRNA from 1 species